CCGACCAGUACUCCAAGACGCGCAAGCAAGCGCCAAGCGGGGAACUCCGUGGGAAACCGGACCGGAACUCAAGUGUGCAGAGCUCUGCUUCGCUAGGAAUUCUUCUUCUCCAAAUGACCUACCUCCAAUGAGUGGGGGGUGCCCUCUAUUUAUAGGGGUUCUUAUGGGGUCAAUCUGGUCAUUUGGGCAGUAACCGCCUAACUGCCUAACUGAUCAGAUUGGGUCCAGGGGUCGACUUUCCAGAGAUCGACUUUCUGGGGGUCGACUUUUCCU
rnacentral:lncRNA from 1 species